rnacentral:rRNA from 1 species
UACGGGAGGCAGCAGUGAGGAAUAUUGGUCAAUGGCCGAGAGGCUGAACCAGCCAUGCCGCGUGCGGGAGGACGGCCCUAUGGGUUGUAAACCGCUUUUGUUGGGGAGCAAUAAGGGCCACGUGUGACCCGAUGAGAGUACCCAGCGAAUAAGCAUCGGCUAACUCCGUGCCAGCAGCCGCGGUAAU